ensembl:lncRNA
GUGAAAAUACCUUAAAGAAAUGAAGACAAAAUAAAGACUUUUUAGACAUAAAAAAGAAGAAAGAAUUUGUCACCAGCAGAUCCAUGUUCCAAACAAUGUUAAAGGAAACCUAUCAAGCAGAAAGAAAAAUGAUGCCAGAUGGAAAUAUGGAUCUAUGCCAAGGAAUGAAGAACACUGGAAAUGGGUGUAACAUAGCUCAGAUGAGGAACUUCAGUUGAGAGAGCCUGGCUGGAGCCUUAGGGGGUAAACUCAAGUGCCUCUGGGUGACUCAGAUUGGACAGGAAUCUUAUGGAGUCAUCUUCACCUGUAUUUCCAGUGCUUGGGCUGGGUGACUUAAAAGGCUAGGCUCAGUGAAGGCUGUCGACAAAAACACCAACAUACGGCCUCACCAUGUGGCUUGGACUUCUUCUCAGUAGGGCAGCUUCAGGGUUGUUGGAAGAGCAAGUGUCCCAAUGAAUGAGGGAGAAGCUACAUGGCCUUUUAUGACCCAGCCUCAGAAGUCAUGUGGUAUAUCUUCCACCAUCUCCUAUUAGUUGAAGACGUAAACCCUAGCCAGCUUCCAGAAGAGGGGACAUGGACCCCAUCUCUUGAUGGCAAGUUUCAAAGAAUUUUGAGGUGAUGUAUUAAAACCACUAAAAAUCUUCAGAAAUAGGAGGCAGCAUAUACUACUCUUCGAAAUACUGCUCUGACCCAUUUAUUGGGUGACUUGGAAGGCUGCCAGUUUUGAGUGCCAGAGCAAGAUCUGCAGCAGGUCUGGGCUGUGGUACAAGUGGUCCUGUCACUCAGGCCACAUAACCAGCAGAGCUAAUGGUGCUAUUUAUUGCAAAUAAAGAUGUGUGUGUAGUCUCUGCCAAACCCAAUAAGGGGAGUUGCAGCACAGAUCCUAGAGUCCCAGAGUCCUUCCUUCUGCAGCAGAAAACUAUAAACAACUUGAAAAACAGCUCCUGAGCCCUGAUAGAGAUGGAGCCUGACUACAGGACAUCAGGUGACCAUGUGGCCAGAACUGCCCAUUAUGUGCUGGGUAUUAUCAGACAGACAAUGUUGGGCACGCACAGCAGGAAUGUGUCAUGCAAUGGAAACAGUUCACUGGGGUGUGGGCCAGAAGGUAUACAGAGGGCACAAGUAAAUUCCACCUGCCUCAGAUUCCCGUGUUAUCUACCUGCUUCCCUCAGUUCAUACGUAAGGCCUUAUAAUUUACUACAAUCAACCAAGGGGAAAAAAACUUGGACCUAGCUCACCUCAACCUUGUCCGGGUUGCCCUGACAAGUUGGUGCUAACAAAAAAUGGGCCUCCAUCAGACUACAGCCUCAUUCUGGGUGGCCCUGAAGGACAGUGGAGGUCACUCCUCGCCGUGAGCAGAGCUGUAAACAAUGCACUGGUUCACUCACUUUGAGGGCAGGAGAAGCAGUCUGUGUUAAUGGUAUAUCUGGACCCAUGGGCAGUGGCGAAUGGCUUGCUGGUUGGGUCAGGAGCCUCAAAGGAGCAAACUUAAAGUUUGGAGACAAGGAGAUAAAGUGUGGAGAAAAUUAUGUAGAUGGAUCUAUGGUCCUGGAGACAUAGCACACGGAUCUCUGGCUCAUAUCCAGGCCCACCAGAGCACCUCCCCUGCAGGUACAGCACAGAACCACUAGGUGGACAGGAUUUUCCUGAGGAUGCCAGCCAGCCUCUCUCCCUAGCAGCUCCAGAACUUGCAUGACAGAGGGGACAUGGAGCAGGGAUAUAGGAUCUGCAUGGCCCCAGCAGCAUGAGUGCCAUCUCACCAAGACCAGACUAGCAACUGCUAUACUGAAUAUGUGCCUGUCACCAGAGAGACUGACACAGAACACUCCAUAUGGCAUGCAUCCCUGAAGGACGCCAGCCAGUCACUUGGUGGUAGGUUUUUUCCACCAGAUGCCCUCUAUCCCACAGGGAGCAGUGACUUAGCCUUACCAGAAACGGAUCUGGGUUUGCCUUCUUUGACCCAGUGCCUCUGCCUGCACCACCAUCAACUGAACCAUUCUGACAUAUAGGCACACCCGGAUUUUUGAGGAGUUAACAUUACAGGGGCAACACUUGACCAUUUGGUGCCAGGAGACAGGAAAUGAUACUCUCUUCCAUUCCUUGAGAGGACAGUCCUCAAAGGUCCAAGAAGGAUGGAGCCCCAUUUGACCACCAUAGAAACCAUCUCAACAAAGCACCUUGGGCUGGCUUUCCCUCCAUCUUGCUUGACAUCUUUUAGUCUCCCAUUCCUGGUGCCUGUGUUUCCCAAAUAAACCACUUGCCUCACCCUCCUUUCUCAGGCUUUACCAUCUGAGAGAACCUGGGAUAAGACGCUCUGAGACCUAUUCACAAAACAUACUUUUCCUGUGAAGUGAGAAGUCCCUGUGUUGUGAUUUAAGCAAUCUCUACUCACAUGGCACCAUUGGUUUUUUUGUUAGUUUGCUUACUCUCUUGUUUUGAGGUAAAAAAGAGUUUAGAGAACACAAAAAAUCAGUUUCCCGCUGAGGUAUUGUAGAUUCUGCCAAUGGAUGAGACACCCAUCACACUGACCUUCAGGUGGGCUGUGCAGGUGGUGCCCUGCACAGGGGGCUUGGCUGAGGAGUAGGUGGCCUUCUUUCACUAAGCAGAGCCCCCUGGCACAGGCCGCAUCUGCCCAGAGGAAGGGGAGCCUAUUCCUAAUUCCCAGAAAGGACUGUCAGCUCACUAAGCCAUGUGCCUGAGAGGCACUUCCCCCCAAGAAGGGCACAUUUUCUAAUGAGCAGAAAAUCAUCCUAUGGGCAGCAGAGUUUCAGCCUCCACCCUACUCUACGUCUGCCAUUCAGCUCUUGAUGCCACCACAUUUGGUUCCGAUCUAAGAGCAUUUUCCUGAUUAAUUAAAGACUCAGAACACAACUCACCACAUAUUUUAAAGUUGUAGGUCCAGAGCUAGUGAGAAAAACAUAGUUUUGAAGUUGGAAGGAACUUCAGAAAUUAUCUAAGGCCAGGCCAACCCCUCUGUUUGACAAAUGAGGAAACUGAGUCCAGAUCCACCUCUGCAUCUCCUCCUACUCUCACCAGGCCAGAUGCCAGGCUCCAGCCCGGGCACUGCAGGGGCAGCGUCCGCGACCCAGCUUAGUUUCAAGUAAAGAACUGCUGUAAUUGACUAAAUGCCUCCUUUCCUGAAAGUGACUUUAUGAAGAUGAGUAAAGAGGAAACACAGCACCUGAAUCAACAUUGUGCAAACUUAAAUUAUACACUUUCCACUUGUGUGCAAUGUAUUUGGAGGAGUUUCUGUUUUUCAUGAACACGAAGCAAUCUCUUUUGACUUUGGUUACUAGGCAUCUGUAAAAUUGAGGACAUGGGGUUGCAUUCAUAUUAUUUCAAUGUACACUGAACACCAGGCCAAAAAAAAAGGAAUAAAACGAG